rnacentral:rRNA from 1 species
GAGUUUGAUCCUGGCUCAGGAUGAACGCUAGCGACAGGCCUAACACAUGCAAGUCGAGGGGUAACAUUGGUAGCUUGCUACCAGAUGACGACCGGCGCACGGGUGAGUAACGCGUAUGCAACCUUCCUUUAACAGGAGAAUAGCCCCCGGAAACGGGGAUUAAUGCUCCAUGGCACUCUGAUUUCGCAUGGAAUAAGAGUUAAAGUUCCGACGGUUAAAGAUGGGCAUGCGUGACAUUAGCCAGUUGGCGGGGUAACGGCCCACCAAAGCAACGAUGUCUAGGGGUUCUGAGAGGAAGGUCCCCCACACUGGUACUGAGACACGGACCAGACUCCUACGGGAGGCAGCAGUGAGGAAUAUUGGUCAAUGGACGCAAGUCUGAACCAGCCAUGUCGCGUGCAGGAUGACUGCCCUAUGGGUUGUAAACUGCUUUUGUACGGGAAGAAAUGUACUUACGAGUAAGUAUUUGCCGGUACCGUACGAAUAAGCAUCGGCAA